rnacentral:rRNA from 1 species
CCUACGGGAGGCAGCAGUGAGGAAUAUUGGUCAAUGGACGAGAGUCUGAACCAGCCAAGUAGCGUGAAGGAUGACUGCCCUAUGGGUUGUAAACUUCUUUUAUAUGGGAAUAAAACGUUCCACGUGUGGGAUUUUGUAUGUACCAUAUGAAUAAGGAUCGGCUAACUCCGUGCCAGCAGCCGCGGUAAUACGGAGGAUCCGAGCGUUAUCCGGAUUUAUUGGGUUUAAAGGGAGCGUAGGUGGAUUGUUAAGUCAGUUGUGAAAGGUUGCGGAUCAACCGUAAAAUUGCAGUUGAAACUGGCAGUCUUGAGUACAGUAGAGGUAGGCGGAAUUCGUGGUGUAGCGGUGAAAUGCUUAGAUAUCACGAAGAACUCCGAUUGCGAAGGCAGCUCACUGAACUGCAACUGACACUGAGGCUCGAAAGUGUGGGUAUCAAACAGGAUUAGAUACCCUUGUAGUC